rnacentral:rRNA from 1 species
GGAUGCGAUCAUACCAGCACUAAAGCAUCGGAUUCCAUCAGAACUUCGAAGUUAAGCGUGCUUGGGCGAGAGUAGUACUAGGAUGGGUGACCUCUUGGGAAGUCCUUGUGUUGCAUUCC